rnacentral:lncRNA from 1 species
GGCGCACAAGCUUGUUUCUCACUGUCGUGCCAACUUCUGGACGACUCGAUACGUCUCUGAGUGGAGGCAGUACCUGAGCUUUGAUAAACUUCCUGAUAUUCCUAUGAGUUCGGCAGCAUUCCGUUAAUAAACUGAGAACUGGAGUCAGACCUUCUCUAUAGCUGCUUCCCUUGUCAAUUCUCUUCUCCAUGAAAUCCAAUAAAAUCUGGAUUGCUCCCAUAUUCAUACCAUUGUAUUUUAUAUCUGUUUCCUCCUGGGAUGACGGACUAAUAAGGACAUCCAAGCAAGAAACGGGAAUAUUGCUUAAGAGGUUGAUUGCAUUGCUGUGCAACUCUUCAGUUUUGUCUUCAGUGGGGCCCG